rnacentral:tRNA from 9 species
GGCUCAGUGGUUUAGUGGGAUAAUUCAUCUUUCGGGUAGAUGAGGUCCCGGGUUCGAUUCCCGGCUGAGCCC